AUUGAACGCUGGCGGCAGGCUUGACACAUGCAAGUCGAACGAGUGGCGGACGGGUGAGUAAUGUAUGGGAAUAUGCCCGGUAGCGGGGGAUAACUACUGGAAACGGUGGCUAAUACCGCAUACUAUUGGAUCACCCGAUAUGGGAUUAGCUAGUAGGUGGGGUAAAGGCUCACCAAGGCGACUUUCCGUAGCUGGUUUGAGAGGAUGAUCAGCCACACUGGGACUGAGACACGGCCCAGACUCCUACGGGAGGCAGCAGUGGGGAAUAUUGGACAAUGGGCGAAAGCCUGAUGCAGCCAUGCCGCGUGUAUGAAGAAGGCCUUAGGGUUGUAAAGUACUUUCGGCGGAGAAGCGUUAUCUGCAGAAGAAGCACCGGCUAACUCCGUGCCAGAAGCCGCGGUAAUAC
rnacentral:rRNA from 1 species